rnacentral:rRNA from 1 species
CCUUAGAGUUUGAUCAUGGCUCAGAGCGAACGCUGGCGGCAUGCUUAACACAUGCAAGUCGCACGGUUCGGGGGCAACUCCGGGCAGUGGCGGACGGGUGAGUAACGCGUAGGAAUCUAUCCUUGGAUGGGGGACAACCUUGGGAAACUAAGGCUAAUACCGCAUGAUGCCUGAGGGCCAAAGACGAAAGUCGUCUGGGGAGGAGCCUGCGUCUGAUUAGGUAGUUGGUGGGGUAAUGGCCUACCAAGCCUGCGAUCAGUAGCUGGUCUGAGAGGAUGAUCAGCCACAUUGGGACUGAGACACGGCCCAAACUCCUACGGGAGGCAGCAGUGGGGAAUAUUGGACAAUGGGCGCAAGCCUGAUCCAGCAAUGCCGCGUGGGUGAAGAAGGUCUUCGGAUUGUAAAGCCCUUUUGGCGGGGACGAUGAUGACGGUACCCGCAGAAUAAGCUCCGGCUAACUUCGUGCCAGCAGCCGCGGUAAUACGAAGGGGGCUAGCGUUGCUCGGAAUGACUGGGCGUAAAGGGCGCGUAGGCGGCUUACACAGUCAGGCGUGAAAUUCCUGGGCUCAACCUGGGGACUGCGUCUGAUACGUGUAGGCUUGAGUAGGGAAGAGGGUCGUGGAAUUUCCAGUGUAGAGGUGAAAUUCGUAGAUAUUGGAAAGAACACCGGUGGCGAAGGCGGCGACCUGGUCCUUUACUGACGCUGAGGCGCGAAAGCGUGGGGAGCAAACUAGGAUUAGAUACCCUGGUAGUC